CUGUACUACCACUUUCAAGUCUCCUUCAGAUCUCUCUCCCAUUUGCUGAAUUUAUCUCUGGUAGAAAUCUGGUCUGGUCUUUUGCAAAAUCAGAGCAUGUGGGAUACUUUCAAAAAUCACAAACAAAUAGUUUCUGCUUUGUUCUUUUUCCUGAAAAUACUGGAAAACAAAAACUGGUUGUGAGAGACCAGAGAAGGAGCAUAGCUCAUUUCCUUAGAUGAGACCUUUUUUUUUUUUUUUUAACAGGACCACCUGAAUUGUUGUCCUAAAGAUGUCAGCUCUUAAUUGAAGUCAGGGAAGUCUAGACUAGGGGAGGAGCAAGGAGGCUAAGCCAGUUUUAAUUGGUGUAAAUUUGCAGCCACCAGUGAUUAGAGGUGGCUGUGUGAGGAGCACCAGGAGAGAUAAAGGGUUUGAAGGGAGACUAUGGGCCUCUCCAGGUCCUGUCAUCCCUUCUGAAAAGGGGGAUUUGUUAUCACCAGGUGCCAUUGUUACUGCUUUCCCUCUCAGUAACCAAAUCUAAUAGCUGUCCUGCCUUUCGUAUUGCUGUAUGGAUUUAAAUGUCUCUUUAGGAAAAUUUUUCACAGCCUUGGUUGACAAAACAUUGUGUGUGGAUGACCCAGCAAAGUUGACAUCUGUCUAAAACUGCAUUUUCAUGAAUCACAAACUGGAGACUGAAGCUUGUGCGUUCCUUAAGCCUGGAGUGUGCUUGGAUCUCUGGCUUGGUUUAUUCCCACAUCCUGAUUUAAUUGUUAACUUAAGGAAGGCAAGCUGGCUGGCAACGCGCUGCAGGGAUUGAGGGGGCUGAAGAAGUGGAACGUAAACUCCAGAAUAUUGUCUGGACUGGCUCAAUGUGCCAUCAGAGCGGUCUGUCGGUGCCAUCCUGCCUCCUCUGGAGAUCAGUGCCAUCACCCCAGCAGCUGAGAUGCAACACAUAUCCCCUUUUUGGCAACCUCUCUGAAGGGGGCUUGUGGCCUCCUGUCCACCGCAGAACUGCCUUCAUCAGGAAAACGGGGUACAGGUGUCUUGACUCUGUUACUGAAUCCACAAGGUGGAAGAAGUCCAAGGCUGAAUGGAGCAUCAUUCCCCAGCAACUCGUACCAGAUGUUAAAGAAAUGAAUAGAAAUGAAAGUCAGCAUUCCCUGGGACAAAAGUAUCAAGGUAUUUCCUAGGCUUUUGUUUCGUUGUUUGAAAGCUUUUGUGUGUCCUGUGUUUUGGUUAUUGACAGUUUUUCACUUCAGUCUGAGAGAUAGGAGGACAGUUUGCACUGUAGAUGGCUGUUAUUAAUUAAAAUGAGGAAUGAUGACAUUAAAACCAGAAAUGGUGAGUCCAGUCACAAGGAUGAGUGUUAGGAGAAGAGGGGUGGUUAAUGUUGAGCCCUCUGUUGCCAGCAUGUCGGUCACCAGCUUGUCGUGUGCAGGCUUUGACAGUCAACUGCAGUAGGACAGAGCUUCUGAUUCUGCCCCACAGCUUCGUUACAUGAGCCCCACCAGGGCUACACAUACACGUCUUAAUUUUGAAAAGCUGUCAUGCUUUCCAUGACCUUUCUGAAAUCCUUUUUCUGCUGAUCUUCAACUGGUUGUUACCACGUUGCAGGUGCUUCUUGUGGGCUCUUAAA
ensembl:lncRNA